rnacentral:rRNA from 1 species
UACGUAGGCGGGCUUGUAAGUGUCCUGUGAAAUCCCCCGGCUCAACCGGGGAACUGCGGGGCAAACUGCAAGUCUUGAGGAAGCUAGAGGCCGGUAGAACGAUUGGUGGAGCGGUGGAAUGCGUAGAUAUCAAUCGGAAUGCCGAAAGUGAAGACAGCCGGCUGGGGCUUUUCUGACGCUGAAGCACGAAAGCGUGGGGAAGCAAACG